rnacentral:rRNA from 1 species
UACCAGCACCCCGAGUGGUCGGGACGAUUAUUGGGCCUAAAGCAUCCGUAGCCGGUUUUACAAGUCCUCCGUUAAAUCCAGCUGCUUAACAGAUGGGCUGCGGAGGAUACUAUAAGACUAGGAGGCAGGAGAGGCAAGCGGUACUCAGUGGGUAGGGGUAAAAUCCGUUGAUCCGUUGAAGACCACCAGUGGCGAAGGCGGCUUGCCAGAAUGCGCUCGACGGUGAGGGAUGAAAGCUGGGGGGAGCAAACCGGG